UACAGAGGGUGCGAGCGUUGUCCGGAAUCACUGGGCGUAAAGGGCGCGUAGGUGGUGGCUUAAGCGUGCGGUGAAAGCUCGGAGCUCAACUCCGAGUCGGCCGUGCGAACUGGGCUCACUGGAGCAUAGUAGAGGCAGGUGGAAUUCCGGGUGUAGCGGUGGAAUGCGUAGAGAUCCGGAAGAACACCGGUGGCGAAGGCGGCCUGCUGGGGCUAUGGCUGACACUGAGGCGCGACAGCGUGGGGAGCAAACAGG
rnacentral:rRNA from 1 species